AACGAACGCUGGCGGCAUGCCUAACACAUGCAAGUCGAACGAGACCUUCGGGUCUAGUGGCGCACGGGUGCGUAACGCGUGGGAACCUGCCCUUAGGUUCGGAAUAACUCCCCGAAAGGGGUGCUAAUACCGGAUAAUGUCUUCGGACCAAAGAUUUAUCGCCUUUGGAUGGGCCCGCGUUGGAUUAGCUAGUUGGUAGGGUAAAAGCCUACCAAGGCGACGAUCCAUAGCUGGUCUGAGAGGAUGAUCAGCCACACUGGGACUGAGACACGGCCCAGAAUCCUACGGGAGGGAGCAGUGGGGAAUAUUGGACAAUGGGCGAAAGCCUGAUCCAGCAAUGCCGCGUGAGUGAUGAAGGCCUUAGGGUUGUAAAGCUCUUUUACCCGGGAUGAUAAUGACAGUACCGGGAGAAUAAGCUCCGGCUAACUCCGUGC
rnacentral:rRNA from 1 species